rnacentral:lncRNA from 12 species
UGAGGGUAUGAGUUAAAGCACCAUAAGAUUCUAUUUCUUAGGGCUCCGGGGCCCUUAUUUCCUUUAUUGGAGCAAGAAGUUGUUAGCCCGACGCCUAAGAUAGUCUAUUUUCCUCUUAGAGAAAAGGAUUUUGUCAUCCCUACUUCAAUAAAAAGUUUUAUUAGAAUUUGUCAAAAUUGCUUUCAUUUGGAUUGUCUGUCAUGAUUAUCUCCAAAUUAUGGCACUUUCUUUUCCAGAAACCGGGAAAAAUGAAUGAAUGAGCUCAGAAGGUUUAACUGAUUGUGUGGCUUUAAAGCAAGGCUCUAUCAUCAUCCCCAGGGAUCAGUUAAACAGAAAGAGCUUUUAGCUCCGGAGCAAUGAACUCUUUAAUAUUCAAACUUCAGGAAAGAUUCAGUGCCUCUCCCCAUGCAGAGUCUUUGAAAAGAGUGAUUUCAAUUAAGAGAAAAUUAGCAAUUGGUAAAUGUAAUAAAGGAAGGAAGAGCUUAACGAGUUAUCAGGAUUAAGAGUAAGGGUGGAGGUGUCAAGCAUGACUUGAAUUUACUCAUAUGCUGAAGUGAAAAAAAGAAAUGGACAAAUCAACAGCCUGAAUGAUUGACAGAGCCAAGUCCCAAAGAAGACAAGGACGAUAAGAGCGAGAUCAUUAGAGGAGAGGCUAAUCUAGCCAUCGGGAGAAGGAACACUUCUUUCUCUGAGAAAAAAAGGGCAAGCCAAAAAAGGUAGUAGAAAAGAAGAACACCGUAUUAAUAACAGGAGUGGGGAAAGAGCUCUAUUAAACGAAUAAUAGGGCGGGGAAGUGGGGAUGGAGUAAGCCUAGAUACUGUAUGAACACAAGUUCAUAUCUUUGCUCUGCUACUUAUUUGUGUGACUUAAGCAACUUAUUUGUCUAAAUUUCAGUUUUUUCUUCUGUAAAAGGAGGAUAAUAAUAUUGUAUCAGUAUUUAUAUAGUUUCAAUUCUGAAUGGCAGAAAAUCCCACUCAGACUAUGUUAUUAUAUACUACAGAAAUGAAUUAUUGCAUGAAUUUGAAUAUUCAACGUAGGCAGCAUCAGGAAUGUAUGGUUACUCUUUGAAAAAUGGUAUUGAAGUUCCAAAUUCUAUCCUUUUCUCCUCUCUACUGUUCUUUUUUUUUUUUUUUUUUUAGAUUUUUAUUUAUUUAUUCAUGAGAGAUGCAGAGACAGAGUCAGAGACACAGGCAGAAAGAGAAGCAGGCUUCCCACAGAGAGCCUGAUGUGGGACCCUGAGCCAAAGGCAGAUGCUGAACCGCUGAGCCACCCAGGUGCCCCUCCCCUCUACUAUUCUUAGUGUGCAUAUUAGUUUGUCACUCCGCUGGCUUCCCCCAAAUUGGUAGAAGGACACUAACAUUUUGAGAUAACAUAUUUUUCCAAUGUAUACAGAAAAAUAUAGUGCCUAGUCCCUAUCCUCAAAUGUAAUCUUUUCCACGUAGUGAAAGAGCCACAUGACCAUAUAUUAAAAUACCCGACAAUACAAAUCAUAGUGUAACACAUUUUUGCUAGAGACAAAAAUUCCAGUAGCACUCAACUUUGACUGUAGCGUGUCAAAAUAUUUCUUAUUGACCUAAACGUGUAGCUACAAAUAAUAACAGUUAAAAGAAAACAGGGAUCCCUGGGUGGCGCAGCGGUUUGGCGCCUGCCUUUGGCCCAGGGCCCGGUCCUGGAUAUCCGGGAUCGAAUCCCACGUCAGGCUCCCGGUGCAUGGAGCCUGCUUCUCCCUCUGCCUGUGUCUCUGCCUCUCUCUCUCUCUCACUGUGUGCCUAUCAUAAAUUAAAUAAAUAAAUAAAUAGUUAAAAAAAUAAAAAAAAU